GACGAACGCUGGCGGCGUGCUUAACACAUGCAAGUCGAGCGGUAAGGCCCUUUCGGGGGUACACGAGCGGCGAACGGGUGAGUAACACGCGGGUGACCUGCCCUCAGCUCUGGGAUAAGCCUGGGAAACCGGGUCUAAUACUGGAUAUGACUCCAUGACGCAUGUUGUGGGGUGGAAAGCCUUGUGCGGCUGAGGAUGGGCCCGCGGCCUAUCAGCUUGUUGGUGGGGNGAUGGCCUACCAAGGCGACGACGGGUAGCCGGCCUGAGAGGGCGACCGGCCACACUGGGACUGAGACACGGCCCAGACUCCUACGGGAGGCAGCAGUGGGGAAUCUUGCGCAAUGGGCGAAAGCCUGACGCAGCGACGCCGCGUGAGGGAUGACGGCCU
rnacentral:rRNA from 1 species